UUCAACCUUCAAGUCUUUCUGUCAGUUGUGAAUGUUGUGAUUUGUGAAUAGUUAUACUCUCUAUUCAUGAGUCAGUGCAAAUAGUGCAAAUAUGUACGGUUGACGUGAUUGUUGAGAGUGUGACAUUCGUCGUGAAGAAUAUAAGUAUAGGUGUAAACGAUAAAAAAUAAAACGGAUGUACAGCCCAAAGUUUAUUUAUUGGAAUUAUCGCACACGCACACCCACGCCUAAGCGUAAAAGAUAUCGUUAUUUCUCGAGUAUAAGUAUGUAAUAUGUAUCGUUGAGUGGUUGGCUGGUUGGUGGUUAUAUUGUACAAGGAAAAAAAUCGAUAGUCCUCACCUUAUACCCAUUUAAGAUCGACCCGCCAUUGUAAAUAAAAAUGUUGACUGACAAUUGAAACAGCAUUUUAUUGAGGAUUUCGUUUUAAUAUUGGCGAAUGAAAAUGCCAGCCCCUCUCGAAAACGAUUCGCUAUCCAAAACCAAAAAACCUUCAGAUAGUGCCUUCAAGCAGCAACGUUUGCCAGCUUGGCAACCGAUAUUAACCGCUGGAACUGUCCUACCGACUCUUUUUAUCAUUGGAAUUGCUUUUAUACCAGUUGGAAUUGGACUUUUGUACUUUUCUGAUGAAGUUAAAGAACUUAUCAAGGAUUACACAGAAUGCAAAUCCAAUAACACGAAGAGAGACGGAUCCGCAAAAUGUAUGGAUGUAAUCCAAAAUUCAACUCUGGAUUGCUAUUGUGACAUACAGUUCACCCUCGACACCGAUUUCAAUGGCAAAAUUUAUAUGUACUAUGGUCUUUCAAAUUUUUAUCAAAACCACAGACGCUACGUCAAGUCCCGUGAUGAUAAUCAGCUACUUGGUCAAUUGAGUGAUGUUGUCUCUACCGAUUGUCAACCAUUUGAUUAUGUAGAAAAAGGAAACCAAAAAGUACCAAUAGCACCUUGUGGUGCGAUAGCCAAUUCAUUGUUCAGCGAUGAAUUAACAUUAUUCUCGCACAAGCACAAUCAGACCGUACCACUGCUGAAAACCGACAUAGCAUGGCCAUCUGAUAAAAACAUCAAGUUUAAGAAUCCACCCGGCAAUUUGAGUCAAGCAUUUAAAAAUUUUGAAAAGCCGAAAAAUUGGAAAAAACCUAUUUCUGAAUUAGAAAACGGUUUUCAAAAUGAAGAUUUGAUAGUAUGGAUGAGAACAGCUGCUUUGCCUACUUUUAGGAAAUUGUAUAGAAGAAUAGAUCAUUCUCAACAAGGAUUCAAACAAGGCUUGGUCAAUGGAAAAUACACUCUUACUGUCAAAUACUCUUAUCAGGUUGCGGCUUUUCAAGGUACAAAAAAAAUGAUUUUAAGCACAACAUCUUUAUUAGGUGGAAAAAAUCCUUUUCUUGGAAUCGCAUACAUUGUAGUCGGAUGCAUAUGUUUAUUACUUGGAGUUGCAUUGUUAAUUAUACACAUCAAAUGUUCAAAAAGCAAACUUAUCUAAAGAGGGACCAAAAUGACUAUACAUAUAUAGGAAGUAGGACUGUCUAAAUGUCCUCUAACACCGAUCUGAUCAAUGUGAAUCCCACCACACUUUAUCAAUGAAGGGAGGAUUUGUCGUAAACUAAUUGACAAAAAAAACGUUUACCAAAUAAUUCUUUAUCAUAUUAGUACACGAUGGGGUAAAUAAGUUAACGCCGAAUUUACAAAAAGUUAUGUUUUUUUUUUUUUUUUUUUUUUUUUUUUUUUUUU
rnacentral:misc_RNA from 1 species